CGAGGUGAGCGAGAGAACUGUUGCCAAGGAACUCGGCAAAAUGGCUCCGUACGUUCGCAAGAAGGAGCGCUCAUGAAGAGUGAGCCGCAGUGAAGAGGCCCAAGCGACUGUUUAACUAAAACACAGCUCUCUGCGAAGUCGCAAGACGAAGUAUAGGGGGUGACACCUGCCCGGUGCCGGAAGGUUAAGAGGAUCUGUCAAUCGCAAGAUGAAGCAGUGAGUUGAAGCCCCGGUGAACGGCGGCCGUAACUAUAACGGUCCUAAGGUAGCGAAAUUCCUUGUCAGGUAAGUUCUGACCCGCACGAAAGGUGUAACGAUUUGGGCGCUGUCUCGGCAGCAGACUCGGUGAAAUCUUAGUACCUGUGAAAAUGCAGGUUACCCGCAACUAGACGGAAAGACCCCAUGGAGCUUUACUGUAGCUUGGUAUUGAACUUUGGUCAUGCAUGUACAGGAUAGGUGGGAGACGAAGAGACGCGUACGCCAGUAUGCGAGGAGUCGCCGUUGGGAUACCACUCUUGUGUGAUCGGAGUUCUAACCUGGUCCCCUGAAUCGGGGAUGGGGAGAGUGCCAGGUGGGCAGUUUGACUGGGGCGGUCGCCUCCCAAAGAGUAACGGAGGCGCCCAAAGGUACGCUCAGAUUGGAUGGAAACCAAUCGGCGAGUGCAAAUGCAGAAGCGUGCUUGACUGUGAGAGCAACAACUCGAACAGGGACGAAAGUCGGGAUUAGUGAUCCGGCGGUGCCGAAUGGAAGGGCCGUCGCUCAACGGAUAAAAGCUACCCUGGGGAUAACAGGCUGAUCUCGCCCAAGAGUUCACAUCGACGGCGAGGUUUGGCACCUCGAUGUCGGCUCAUCGCAUCCUGGAGCUGGAUUCGGUUCCAAGGGUUGGGCUGUCCGCCCAUUAAAGCGGUACGCGAGCUGGGUUCAGAACGUCGUGAGACAGUUCGGUCCCUAUCUGUUGUGGGCGCAGGAGAUUUGAGGAGAGCUGUCCUUAGUACGAGAGGACCGGGAUGGACCUACCUCUGGUGCACCGGUUGUCGCGCCAGCGGCACAGCCGGGUAGCUAAGUAGGGAAAGGAUAAGCGCUGAAAGCAUCUAAGCACGAAACCUACUCCAAGAUGAGAUCUCCCAUUCGCAAGAAGUAAGACCCCUUAAAGACGAUAAGGUAGAUAGGCCGGAGAUGGAAGUGUAGCGAUACACGGAGUUGACCGGUACUAAUCGGUCGAGGACUUAAUCAG
rnacentral:rRNA from 1 species